rnacentral:rRNA from 1 species
UGGGGAAUAUUGCACAAUGGGCGCAAGCCUGAUGCAGCCAUGCCGCGUGUAUGAAGAAGGCCUUCGGGUUGUAAAGUACUUUCAGUCGGGAGGAAGGUGUCAAGGUUAAUAACCUUGGCAAUUGACGUUACCGACAGAAGAAGCACCGGCUAACUCCGUGCCAGCAGCCGCGGUAAUACGGAGGGUGCAAGCGUUAAUCGGAAUUACUGGGCGUAAAGCGCACGCAGGCGGUUGAUUGAGUCAGAUGUGAAAUCCCCGGGCUUAACCCGGGAAAUGCAUCUGAUACUGGUCAGCUAGAGUCUUGUAGAGGGGGGUAGAAUUCCAUGUGGAGCGGUGAAAUGCGUAGAGAUGUGGAGGAAUACCGGUGGCGAAGGCGGGCCCCUGGACAAAGACUGACGCUCAGGUGCGAAAGCGUGGGGAGCAAACAGG